UACAGCGGGGGCGAGCGUUAAUCGGAAUUACUGGGCGUAAAGCGCACGUAGGUGGCGACGUAAGUCGGGUGUGAAAGCCCCGGGCUCAACCUGGGAAUUGCAUUCGAGACUGCAUUGCUGGAGUACGGAAGAGGGGGGCGGAAUUCCCGGUGUAGCGGUGAAAUGCGUAGAUAUCGGGAGGAACAUCAGUGGCGAAGGCGGCCCUCUGGUCCAGUACUGACACUCAAGUGCGAAAGCGUGGGGAGCAAACAGG
rnacentral:rRNA from 1 species